rnacentral:rRNA from 1 species
AUACGGAGGAUGCGAGCGUUAUCCGGAUUUAUUGGGUUUAAAGGGAGCGUAGGCGGACGCUUAAGUCAGUUGUGAAAGUUUGCGGCUCAACCGUAAAAUUGCAGUUGAUACUGGCUGUCUUGAGUACAGUAGAGGUGGGCGGAAUUCGUGGUGUAGCGGUGAAAUGCUUAGAUAUCACGAAGAACUCCGAUUGCGAAGGCAGCUCACUAGACUGUUACUGACACUGAUGCUCGAAAGUGUGGGUAUCAAACAGGAUUAGAUACCCUGGUAGUCCACACAGUAAACGAUGAAUACUCGCUGUUUGCGAUAUACAGUAAGCGGCCAAGCGAAAGCAUUAAGUAUUCCACCUGGGGAGUACGCCGGCAACGGUGAAACUUAAAGGAAUUGACGGGG